rfam:Chromatiales bacterium (ex Bugula neritina AB1) isolate AB1-2 AB833_contig000041, whole genome shotgun sequence.
AGAACUGUGAGGUUGUGUCUGAAGGAAGCCGCGAGCAAAACUGCGAGCUGAUGAACAAGAACAUCAUAUGAGGCGUAGGCACUGGGAGCCUGUCCGAGAAUGAAUGAUCUACGGCGGACGCGAUAUUUUGGCCAGCGAUUGCGAUCGAUUUGGUUGAAUAUGAAUAACUAUUCGCCCAAAUCGAUCCCAAUAUCUGACUCAAAAUCUCUCGCCCUCGCAACGACCCUCAUUUUCGGACAGGCUCCUGGCUCAUUGUUGGUGAAGUAGGGGCGCAAGAUGACGAAGCCGAGUGAUCUAAGGGUCACCGUAAAUGAUGGGGUUGUGCAGAGAAAGUACAUGUU